rnacentral:rRNA from 1 species
GAUGAACGCUGGCGGCGUGCCUAAUACAUGCAAGUCGAGCGAACAGAUGAGGAGCUUGCUCCUCUGACGUUAGCGGCGGACGGGUGAGUAACACGUGGAUAACCUACCUCUAAUACUGGGAUAACUUCGGGAAACCGGAGCUAAUACCGGAUAAUAUAUUGAACCGCAUGGUUCAAUAGUGAAUGACGGUUUUGCUGUCACUUAUAGAUGGAUCCGCGCCGCAUUAGCUAGUUGGUAAGGUAACGGCUUACCAAGGCAACGAUGCGUAGCCGACCUGAGAGGGUGAUCGGCCACACUGGAACUGAGACACGGUCCAGACUCCUACGGGAGGCAGCAGUAGGGAAUCUUCCGCAAUGGGCGAAAGCCUGACGGAGCAACGCCGCGUGAGUGAUGAAGGUCUUCGGAUCGUAAAACUCUGUUAUUAGGGAAGAACAAAUGUGUAAGUAACUAUGCACGUCUUGACGGUACCUAAUCAGAAAGCCACGGCUAACUACGUG